rnacentral:rRNA from 1 species
AUAAAUCAAAACUUUCAACAACGGAUCUCUUGGUUCUGGCAUCGAUGAAGAACGCAGCAAAAUGCGAUAAGUAAUGUGAAUUGCAGAAUUCAGUGAAUCAUCGAAUCUUUGAACGCACAUUGCGCCCGCCAGUAUUCUGGCGGGCAUGCCUGUUCGAGCGUCA